rnacentral:rRNA from 1 species
UACGAAGGGGGCUAGCGUUGUUCGGAAUUACUGGGCGUAAAGCGCACGUAGGCGGAUUGUUAAGUCGGGGGUGAAAUCCCGGGGCUCAACCCCGGAACUGCCUUCGAUACUGGCAAUCUAGAGUCCGGAAGAGGUGAGUGGAAUUCCGAGUGUAGAGGUGAAAUUCGUAGAUAUUCGGAGGAACACCAGUGGCGAAGGCGGCUCACUGGUCCGGAACUGACGCUGAGGUGCGAAAGCGUGGGGAGCAAACAGG